UUAAAACUCGAUAAGAGUUUAUCAUUACUAUCUUUUCAAAGGUUACUUCCUAAGGCUUUUCCCCACCUAAGGUUCAUAACCUAAGGAUUUGAUAUCAACCUAUGACACCCCCAAAUCUAGGUACUUCAUUCCCACAAGAUUUGGUGUUCACUAUCCAUACAUUUAUACUAUCUACCCAAAUAAAGUACAUUUAAACCAUAAAUCCUACCUUUAAAUUGGGUUACAUCAUUCAAUAAAAAUAUUCCCAGGUUAUCUAACCUUAAACAUCAUUCAAGUGCAGAAAUAAAAUUAUUAUAUCACAUCAUUAAGUAAAAGUCUAUCAUCAAAUUAAAAGUCUAACAUCAUAUCAAUAAACAAAAUUACAAGUCUUCAUCACUUGUACAUUUUUCCCUUUCCUUUGCUAGUUGAAGGCUCAUCUACCUUCUCAACUUUAGCUGCAAUGAGUAUAUAAAUAUGCA
rnacentral:lncRNA from 1 species